UGGGGAAUUUUCCGCAAUGGGCGAAAGCCUGACGGAGCAACGCCGCGUGGGUGAUGAAGAUUUUCGGAUCGUAAAGCCCUUUCAGCAGGGACGAAGCGAGUGACGGUACCUGCAGAAGAAGCAUCGGCUAACUACGUGCCAGCAGCCGCGGUAAUACGUAGGAUGCAAGCGUUGUCCGGAAUUAUUGGGCGUAAAGCGAACGUAGGCGGUUACUUAAGUUUGGUCUUAAAGACCGGGGCUCAACUCCGGGAAUGGACUGAAUACUGGGUGACUAGAGGAUGUCAGAGGAAAGUGGAAUUCCAAGUGUAGCGGUGAAAUGCGUAGAUAUUUGGAGGAACACCAGUGGCGAAAGCGGCUUUCUGGGACAUUCCUGACGCUGAGGUUCGAAAGCUCGGGGAGCAAACAGG
rnacentral:rRNA from 1 species